rfam:Stegodyphus mimosarum contig4202, whole genome shotgun sequence.
GCCUUCGUGGUGUAACGGUAGCACACUCGGCGCGUAUUCGAGAGGCCUAGGUUCGAGUCCCGGAGAGGGCA